rnacentral:sRNA from 1 species
UCAAAACCUCUAGGAAGUAUGUUGUUGGAUAUAGUAUGAUGUUGGACAAAGUAGGAUGUUGGAUAAAGUUUAUAG